AUGUACCACUCGUACACUCCGGUUCCUGUGCGCCGUCCGCACCCACCUGACGACUGCUCGCUACGUUUUGUUAGCC
rnacentral:sRNA from 3 species